UACGUAGGGGGCUAGCGUUGUCCGGAUUUAUUGGGCGUAAAGAGCGUGUAGGCGGCCAGGUAGGUCUGGUGUGAAAACUCGAGGCUUAACCUCGAGAUGUCAUCGGAAACCAUCUGGCUAGAGUCCGGAAGAGGAGAGUGGAAUUCCUGGUGCAGCGGUGAAAUGCGCAGAUAUCAGGAAGAACACCAAUGGCGAAAGCAGCUCUCUGGGACGGUACUGACGCUGAGACGCGAAAGCGUGGGGAGCGAACAGG
rnacentral:rRNA from 1 species